AUGCCCAACUCCGGCUCCGUCACGAACGUCUCCUUCUCGCGGGUCACCAUGAACCGCGUGGCCAACCCCAUCCUCGUCGACCAGAACUACUGCCCCCGCAACGUCGACUGCCCGGGCAAUGUACGUCUCCUUCCCUACAUCUACAUGCAACUACACGUGAUUGAUCGACUAUAUAAUGAGCUGUGUUGUUGUGUGUGCCUGCAGAGCUCGGGGGUGCAGAUCAGCGACCUGUCGUACACUGACAUCAAGGGCUUGUCGGCGACGCCCGUGGCGGUGAAGUUCAACUGCAGCGGUACCAAUCCCUGCAGCGGGAUCAAGCUCAGGAACAUCAGGCUGAGGUACCGGCACCAGCGGCCGGCGCAGGCCAAGUGCCAAAACGCCGGCGGGUUCGCGUCCGGAGAGGUCACACCGCCGAGCUGCUUCUGA
rnacentral:rRNA from 1 species